CGGCAUCACGUCARCCCAGCCCUUCAGGGCAGCAUGCCUGUGUGAAUCAGUGUGUUCACACWGCCUGCACCUUGCAAUAACAGGAGGAAGUCCAAGAGGACAAGAGAGAUAACAAGGCAGAAGGUGAUCCACACCCUGGAGAACUUGUUUAUUGUUUGUAUCCUGACUUAUGAAAAUGUUUGCACACAAAGAAAAGAAACUCACUGGGGCCUGGCUUCAUAGAAGCAAGUGGUGAUUUCACUAAAAAAAAUGGAUCUCAGCUCCCCAGGCAAACCUACAAACAAGGCAGGAGUUCUGGGGAAGUUAAUGAGUUGCGUGCAGCGUGUUAGUCUCUUUGAAGAGCCAGGUGACUGAGGAUUUGAUUUCAGUUUGAGGUUUCAGGUUUGGAUUGGGUUUUCCCCCGGAACCAGGAGAACAGGCUGUAAUGAACACCUGAGCUUGUCCUGAGGUCUGAGCUGCAGCUCAAGACAGAUCUUUGGAAGGGAUCUGCCUUAUGGUCUAUGCUGUGUCAAGUAAAGACAGGCUAUCAUCUCUGAAACUUCCAGGGAAAAAAGGGAAAAUCAAAGCACCUUAGAGGUGAACUUUGCAAAGGAUUGAAUAAGGUCAGCCUGCACUUUUCGUCUCAUGGCCUAUAAUAUCUCAACAUUCUAAGAAUUYGUUGUGGGUCUAUCAGGAAACUGAGAUCUAUUUCAGCCAAGAAGGAAGCAGCAUGCUGGAAAUUUUGAGGUCUGGAAGUUCUAAUAUCAUUUCUUUAGAGCAAAUCUGACCAGGCCUUGAAGUUUCUUGCUUAAUCUCAUGCUGUCUCCUUGCUGAAGACUCCAGUUUAGAACUCACUGGUUCACAAUUGAGCUGUGAAAGGGCAAGCUUGGGAGUUCAAUCUUGGCACACAUGCUUGGGCACACAGAGCGCUUGCAAAGGUUUGAACUGUCCUGGCGGGCAGGGGAAGAGAAGCUCUUCCACACCAUGAUGUUUGAUGCCACAGGCACCUGAACUAGGUWGGGAGGGCAGUAGCUGCAGUCUGGUUGGCCUGCCUGGCCCAAGUGUUCUCUUCCAUAUGGAAUGCACAUUGCCUUGUGCCUUCCUGGGCAGUGCAGGACAGGAUUCACACAGGGGACUGGCUCCCUUCCUGCCUGGACCCCUUUUGUCUUCUGAGUUGCUCCAUUAUGUGUUUACACCACCACAGAGAAUCUUAGAAACUCAUUUUGUUCAAAUGGCAGACUUAGAAUAGUCUUCCAGCACAGUCUCAACCAUUUGCAGGAUUACACCAAAACAUAUUUUUUUUUCUGCUAGGCCAAAGUUCAUUAUCUCAUAUUAGAAAAAGGGUGAGACAGAUGCUCUCUGCAAACAUAUUUAAUAAAGCCCCUUGAUUGCUCUGAAUUAUGUAUGGUAAUUAUCUUGUUAUAUAAUUAGAAGCUCUUAUAUAUACUCUCCUUAAACUUGUUGCUUUGAUGUUGCACUUAGGCGUCUGUAUUACUUUGUGGGAUAUAAUCCAAAGCUGUCUGGAUGCAUUCCAAGAUUACUAAUGCAUAGGCAUAUUUGCAAAACAGGACUUUUAAAGUUAAGCAAACAUGGGAAAAAAUUUUUUUUCCUGGCACUCUGUGUAAAGUUUUGGAGUUUAACACCUUGAUUUGCACAGUAAUUUUUGCCAGAUUUGUUCAAUAAUCAGUGAUACUUGCAAACAGUUUUCUUUUCUCCAGUUGGGAAAAAAAAACAAA